rnacentral:rRNA from 1 species
ACUCCUACGGGAGGCAGCAGUGGGGAAUCUUGGACAAUGGGGGCGAACCCUGAUCCAGCCAUGCCGCGUGAGUGAUGAAGGCCCUAGGGUCGUAAAGCUCUUUCGCCAGGGAUGAUAAUGACAGUACCUGGUAAAGAAACCCCGGCUAACUCCGUGCCAGCAGCCGCGGUAAUACGGAGGGGGUUAGCGUUGUUCGGAAUUACUGGGCGUAAAGCGCGCGUAGGCGGACUGGAAAGUUGGGGGUGAAAUCCCCAGGGGCUCAACCCUGGAACUGCCUCCAAAACUAUCAGUCUAGAGUUCGAGAGAGGUGAGUGGAAUUCCGAGUGUAGAGGUGAAAUUCGUAGAUAUUCGGAGGAACACCAGUGGCGAAGGCGGCUCACUGGCUCGAUACUGACGCUGAGGUGCGAAAGUGUGGGGAGCAAACAGGAUUAGAUACCCUGGUAGGAUAGCG